AUGAACGCUGGCGGCGCGCCUCACACCUGCAAGUCGAACGAUUAAAGCACCUGGUUGUGUAUUAAGUGGCGAACGGCUGAGUAACACGUGGGCAACCUGCCCCUUUCAUUGGUUUAGCCACGGUAAACCGUGGAUAAUACCGAAUACUUCGAGACUUCCGCAUGGAAGACUCGAGAAAGCUCCGGCGGAGGGGGAUGGGCCCGCGGCCUGUUAGCUGGUUGGUGGGGUAACGGCUUACCAAGGCAAUGAUGGGUAGCUGGGUUGAGAGACCGACCAGCCAGAUUGGGACUGAGACACGGCCCAGACUCCUACGGGAGGCAGCAGUGGGGAAUAUUGCACAAUGGGCGGAAGCCUGAUGCAGCGACGCCGCGUGCGGGAUGAAGGCCUUCGGGUUGUAAACCGCUUUCAGCAGGGACGAGGCGAAAGUGACGGUAACUGCAGAAGAAGCACCGGCUAACUACGUG
rnacentral:rRNA from 1 species